CAAGGGUGAGUAAACCGGCGAACGGGUGCGUAACACGUGGAUAAUCUACCUUCCUGACUGGGACAACUGGCCGAAAGGCUUGCUAAUACCAGAUAAGCCCACGGCGUCUUUGGACGCUGAGGGAAAAGGUGGCCUCUGCAUGCAAGCUAUCGCAGGGAGAUGAGUCCGCGGCCCAUCAGCUAGUUGGCGGGGUAAAAGCCCACCAAGGCUACGACGGGUAGCUGGUCUGAGAGGAUGAUCAGCCACACUGGAACUGAGACACGGUCCAGACUCCUACGGGAGGCAGCAGUGGGGAAUCUUGCGCAAUGGGCGAAAGCCUGACGCAGCAACGCCGCGUGUGUGAUGAAGGUCUUCGGAUCGUAAAGCACUGUCGCGAGGGAAGAUACGCUUCCAGCUAACAUCUGGAGGCUAAGACGGUACCUCGAGAGGAAGCACCGGCUAACUCUGUGCCAGCAGCCGCGGUAA
rnacentral:rRNA from 1 species